GGAAAAUGACAGAAAGGUUAUUGACAUGUAAACGUUUUAAAAUACCUUCUCAACUAAAGAAGUAGAACUGGCUUAGCCUAUAUUGCAGGACAAUUAGAAUGCUGUGCUACAAGCCUUUGGGAAGGACCCUGUCACCUGCUGCCUGCUCCACAAGGCACACCCAGUGAGAAAGACCUUAUAUUGUGAUCCUGAGUACACCAACUGCUGCAAAGGUUGCCGGAAAGUGCCACUAGAUUCAUCACAUUCCUUUGAAGAGGACAGUUGCUGAUCCCACUGACCCAAAAAGAAAAAAAAGAUGAAGAUGAAUCAAAGAUUUGAUUCUCGGCUAAGACAAGUGGGGAAUGUAAAAGGCAGUAGCCUUGAAAUUCCCUUUUUAUGCAGUUGUUUGUUAAGUGCUUUUAGUAUGAGUUGCUUGUAGUAUGAGGUGGAAAAUUCCUUGCCCCUUCCCCCUUGAAUAAGCAGGACCUAAUCAGUGAAGGCCACCCAUUGUUCGAAGGACCCUGCCUGGGGACAAGCCUUAUCAGGACCUCAUCAGUGAAGGCCACCCAUUGUUCGAAGGACCCUACAUGGGGACAAGCCUUAUCAGGACCUUUGAACAGACUUUGUGGUGUGCUGUCUACCGGAUGGGUGGUCAUAGCCGAUGGCAGGAGGAUGUGCCUGGUUGAAUUCUAUUGGUUGUGUGAUCUUACUAUAUUUGAAACUAGCCCGCGCUUUGCUUUGAAUGGAUCAUGCUUUUGCUAAGUUUGAAAUGAUUGGAUCUUGUGUUUGCUAUAGCCUGUUAUUGGAUGUAGGUUGAUAAGGUGAUGUGCUCCCCCUCCCUGAGUGUAGUCUGAAUUCCUAUAAAUUGUAUGGUUUGAGCCCUGUUCGGGGUCGAGCUUGGUAGACUAACACCAGUUACCAUCUCGGCCCGGAUUGCAAUUCGUCAAUAAACAUCUUUGCUUCCUU